UACGAAGGUGGCAAGCGUUGUUCGGAAUCACUGGGCGUAAAGCGCGCGCAGGCGGCUUUCUAAGUCGGGUGUGAAAGCCUGGAGCUCAACUCCAGAAUUGCACUCGAAACUGGAUUGCUAGAGAUUGGUAGGGGGUAGCGGAAUUCCUAGUGUAGAGGUGAAAUUCGUAGAUAUUAGGAGGAACACCGAUGGCGAAGGCAGCUACCUGGGCCAAUACUGACGCUAUAGCGCGAAAGCGUGGGGAUCAAACAGG
rnacentral:rRNA from 1 species